UACGGGGGAGCAAGCGUUGUUCGGAUUUACUGGGCGUAAAGGGCGCGUAGGCGGUCAGCACAAGUCAGUUGUGAAAUCUCCGGGCUUAACUCGGAAAGGUCAACUGAUACUGUGCGACUAGAGUGCAGAAGGGGCAACUGGAAUUCUCGGUGUAGCGGUGAAAUGCGUAGAUAUCGAGAGGAACACCUGCGGCGAAGGCGGGUGCUGGGCUGACACUGACGCUGAUGCGCGAAAGCCAGGGAGCGAACGGG
rnacentral:rRNA from 1 species